ACAACUAUUAAGAGUCAUCUGUAGACUGCCCCCGCUCUCCCUGCCUCCCGCGGAUCCCGUCGCCCGCACGUACCCAGCCGGGAUUCCCCGCCCAACGCUCGCGCCCGCAACCACCCAGCACGCGUGUGACCCGCAAAUGCCGCUCCUUACGACCGCCGCAUCCCCCGCCGCGAAACCUCCGCCGCGAAACCCCCGCCGCCCACACGCACGCCGGCCGUCGCGAUGCAUGCCCGCGCCAAGCACUCCCCCGCCGUCAUCGUCUAGCCGCGGCACUGCGCGCCGCGCUGCCCGUCGCGGCGGCGUGGCUGCACCCGCGCGACAACACGCGCGGGAUCCUGCUCGCCGUCUGCGACGUCGCGCUCCUGCUGCGCGGCCGACGCGGCAGGGCGGGGCUGCGGGCGAGGGUGCAGUCCGCCUACCGCUGCAAGUUCUGGCGGAACAUGAUGCGCGCCGCGCUCACCUACGAGGAGUGGGCGCACGCGGCGCGUAUGCUGGAGCUCGAGGCCGCGCCGCGCCGGGCCAGCGACGCCGACCUCUACGACGAGGAGCUUGUCCGCAAUAAGCUCCGCGAGCUCAGGCACCGGCGCCAGGAGGGAUCGCUCAGGGACAUCGUCUUCUGCAUGCGUGCUGACCUGCUCAGGAACCUCGACAAUAUGUGCAACCCCGAACUGCACAAGGGGAGGCUGCAGGUGCCUAGACUCAUAAAGGAAUACAUUGAGGAAGUAUCUACUCAACUGAAAAUGGUUUGUGAUUCUGAUUCAGACGAGUUGCCUCUCGAAGAGAAACUCGCAUUUAUGCAUGAGACAAGACAUGCCUUUGGUAGAACAGCCUUGCUGCUAAGUGGAGGUGCUUCAUUAGGAUCCUUUCAUGUGGGUGUUGUUAAAACCUUGGUAGAACAUAAACUUCUGCCAAGGAUAGUUUCAGGAUCAAGUGUAGGCUCAAUAAUGUGUUCUAUAGUAGCAACAAGAUCAUGGCCUGAGCUGGAGAGCUUUUUUGAAGAGUGGCAUUCCCUGAAAUUUUUUGACCAGAUGGGUGGAAUCUUUCCUGUGGUUAAAAGAAUUUUGACGCAUGGCGCUCUUCAUGAUAUAAGACACUUGCAGGUGCUUUUGAGAAACCUUACCCGCAAUCUGACAUUUCAAGAAGCUUAUGACAUUACUGGUCGGAUUCUUGUUGUCACUGUGUGUUCUCCAAGGAAGCAUGAGCCGCCUCGAUGCCUAAACUAUUUAACGUCACCUCAUGUUCUUAUCUGGAGUGCAGUAACAGCUUCCUGCGCUUUUCCUGGACUUUUUGAGGCCCAAGAAUUGAUGGCAAAAGAUAGAUUUGGUCAAACCAUUCCUUUCCAUGCUCCAUUCUUAUUAGGCAUGGAGGAACGAACUGUUGCUCCAACCCGCCGCUAGAGAGAUGGGAGCUUAGAAAGCGAUUUACCCAUGAAGCAAUUGAAGGAACUAUUCAAUGUGAAUCAUUUCAUAGUAAGUCAAGCCAAUCCUCACAUAGCUCCACUAUUGAGACUAAAGGAAAUCAUCAGGGCUUAUGGAGGCAGCUUUGCUGCCAAGCUUGCUGAACUUGCCGAGAUGGAAGUUAAACAUAGGUGUAAUCAAGUUCUGGAACUUGGAUUUCCUUUAGGAGGAUUAGCUAAACUAUUUGCUUAAGAUUGGGAAGGUGAUGUUACAGUUGUUAUGCCAGCCACUCUUGCGCAGUAUUCCAAGAUGAUACAAAACCCGUCUUAUGCUGAGCUUCAGAAGGCUGCAAAUCAAGGUAGGAGAUGCACUUGGGAAAAGUUAUCAGCCAUCAGGGCAAAUUGUGCUAUUGAGCUUGCACUGGAUGAAUGUGUUGCCCUCCUAAACCACUUGCGUAGGCUAAAGAGGAGUGCAGAAAGAGCAUCCGCAUCGCAAGGAUAUGGUCCAGUAAUCAGGUUCUGCCCAUCUAGGAGGAUUCCAUCCUGGAAUCUCAUAGCGAGAGAAAAUUCAACUGGUUCUCUUGAUGAAGAAAUGCUGGAAUCUCCUCAUACAAAUCAUCAAGGACCUGGAGGAGUUGCUGGAACAUCUACUAGAAAUCGGUAUUUUCAGAGAAAUGCACACGAGAGCAGUGACAGUGAAUCUGAGAGUAUUGAUUUACACUCUUGGACAAGAAAUGGUGGCCCUCUUAUGAGGACAGCCUCAGCCAAUAAAUUCAUCAGCUUCGUUCAGAAUCUUGAGAUCGACACAGAAUUCAGAACAAUUCCAUCGAGGGAAAACCUAACUGAUCUUGUGACACCAAAUGCUGGUAGCUUGGCAGCUCAUGCAGUGAAUAGAGAAGCAACCGAUAGGAGCUUGGACAUUUCAGCUUUAGAUAUCCAUGAUACCGCUACCCCUAGAUCGACAUUUGGCCGUUCAACAAGCAUCGUUGUUUCUGAAGGUGACUUGUUGCAGCCUGAAAAGAUUGAAAAUGGUAUUUUGUUUAAUGUUGUAAGGAGGGAUACUCUGCUGAGGAGGUCCUUCGUUGACGAUGACAUGACUAGGUCCGCUUGGGACAUUGUGCAGUCGUUUGCUCCCAGGGAACAGGGAAGUGAACCGGGAGAGCGUGUGGACACUCGUUGCAAUUCGGACACAGAGGAAGAGAGUGAGGCUGAGGAUGGGGUGGCAGCUGUGGAGAGCGAGCUGAAAGAGUUGAGGAUAGGAGAGACCUUCGAGGGGCUCACUGGAACUUCUUCAUUGUCAACGACAAAUGAUGAUGAUGCGUCCAGUACAACCACGGAGGCCAUGUUCAUCAUCUCACUGAAUGGCAAGUUCAAGCGUAAGAUUAAGUCAUGGAUGCGUGGUGCUCUUCUGGGAAGCGGCUCAUUUGGGAUGGUGUACGAGGGGAUCAGUGAGUAAGUGCCAGUGCUUUUGAAUAUUACUUUGAGCUCAAAUUGUUUGCAUAGUUACUUUGUUACUCAUCAGACACCGCAAAAUAUACGGCAUCCUUUGGUCUAAUAUGGCAUAUUUAUAAGUUGUCCUGUUAUUCAAACUUAGUCCAAAUAGCCCUUUGUAACAAGCUUGAACAGCUCUUCCAUCUGGCGCCUGAGUUUUCCUCCAGUAAUGUUUUAGGUAGUGACGAGGACGUUAUAUUUUCGCAAUUUAUUUAGUGUAUAUGUAGUGAAUCGAACUAAGAUUUCAUAGCUUGGCAAGGAAAUUGGAAUAUGGGUCAUAAAGUUUUCACAUUGUGGAAUGAAUAUUUUUUAUUUAUAGAGAGCACACCUCAAAUUGGCACAUUAAAAAAGAUGAAGGUGUGGUUAACAAUAGGUUCUUUAGUAACCUCUUUUAUGUGCAAAGCACUAAGAAUGCACUGACCGACAUAUCAAAAUAUGCCAACCAGAUUGGGAAUUCGUUUUUUUAAUGUAGUAGUAUAAGCAUAUGCCAACCAGAGCAAAUGGACUUUAGUGAUGUCGCCUGCUGAAGCAAACAACAUAACCCAUCUUUUAAAUAUAAGUUAGUGUGGGUGAAAUGUAGGAACCUAUAUCUUUUAAAUCAGCUCCUGAGGGCAAUGUAUGCAGUACUUGAUAUGGUCUCAAUUGCCUUUUAACGGAUACAAGCAUAUAUACAUUGUAGCUUCAUUGAUUCACAUUGUCUCGCUUGAUUUAUAAUGCAAAAUUAUUGGUCGAAACCAAAAAAAAUCUAGGAUGUCCGUCUUGGAGCUUUGCGAAUUGUACUGGUAAUAAAAACCUCACCAGUCGCCUCCUCGAGGCGGUGCUACAUGGUUGGUCUGUAUGAUGUGCUGGUAUUUCAGCCCAUUUUUGUUGAAUAACUGUUUUUAUUUACCAGCAGAAAAUAAAUUAUUGCUUAUAUAUGGCUCUCACGUCUGAACUCAUUCGGCAGGUCAUCAAAGGAUUGAAGCCAAUAGAGCGUUGUUUGCUCCUAAAGUUUGUGGCGAGGUUUUGGUCUUAGUAGUCUUUGCUUUCAGUUUAGAGAUGAUCUGUCUACCGCACUUAAAUAUUGGCGUUGUAGUCAUUUGUUGUUAGCUGAUUCCACUACCACACAUGGAAUUGCUAAGGUUUUAAAAUCAACUCAAAUUUAGGCAAUAAAGAAAAGAUUAUCGGGUUGGUUUUGUAUAGCUGAGCAUCACUACAACUGACAGUGAAUUAUUUUUGUGGUACAAGUUAAAUUUCUCACGUACUAAAUAUUUGUGUUGCAGUCAACCAACUGAUAAACCAUUCAGGACUGAACACAUGAGGCGUCUUGAAUUUGCCUUCUGGUUCAAGGUAAGCACGCCACCGCGACGUAGCGGUGGGAGGAGGAGCAGGAUAGGGAGAAGCGAGACCCACAAGCGCUGGCUUCGACGAGAGCUGGGCAUAACCAAUGAUGUCACGUCGCUUUUGCAGAGGUUGAAGAGUGGUGGAGGAACUUGGAAGCAACUCAUGAGCCAUGUAUGAGCCAUGGUUAUUCUGGUUGGCUAGACUGAUUGAUGGUGAUGAAUUGCAAUGAAAAUUCCAAGUCUGGAGCUUCGUCGAGGUGUGCUGGUUGUCAAGGUUCUGGCUUCAAGGUCCAAAUCCGGCAGUUGGGACAUGGAAUGAUUCAGCAAAUGCAACAUCCUUGCAAUGAGUGCAAGGGUUCUGGAGAGACCAUCAGCGAUAAGGAUAGAUGCCCACAAUGCAAAGGUGUUAAAGUUGUGCCAGAGAAGAAAGUUCUUGAAGUGGUAGUUCAGAAAGGUAUGCAGAACGGGCAGAAGAUCACAUUCCCUGGCGAAGCUGAUGAAGCGCCUGAUACUGCCACUGGAGAUAUCAUCUUUGUUCUCCAGUAGAAGGAGCAUCCCAAGUUCAAGAGAAAGGGUGAUGACCUCUUCUAUGAGCACACACUGACCUUGACUGAAUCUCUGUGUGGCUUCCAGUUUGUUCUGACUCACUUGGAUAACAGGCAGCUGCUGAUCAAAUCGAACCCUGGCAAAGUUGUGAACCCUGAUUCUUUCAAGGCAAUCAACGAUGAAGGCAUGCCCAUGUAUCAGAGGCCCUUCAUGAAGGGCAAGCUGUACAUCCACUUCUCGGUGGAGUUCCCGGACUCGUUGAGCCCGGAGCAGUGCAAGGCCCUGGAGGCUAUUCCCCCGCCCAAGCCAGUAUCACAGUACACUGACAUGGAGCUGGACGAGUGCGAGGAGACGAUGCCCUACGACGUGAACAUCGAAGAGGAGAUGCAGAGGCGGCAGCAGCAGCACCAGGAGGCCUACGACGAGGAUGAUGAUGUGCCAGGCGGGUGGGCAGAGGGUGCAGUGCGCCCAGCAGUAGGCAGCUUGCGGCAAAUUUGCUGUUUCGCUUUGGGCGACUAUUGAGUUUACUCGCUUGUAUUGGUCUGAUGAUACUUCGGUUACAAGAGUGCAAUAUUACUAAGGAUUAGUUC